rnacentral:rRNA from 1 species
CCAAUAGCGUAUAUUAAAGUUGUUGCAGUUAAAAAGCUCGUAGUUGAAUUUCGAGACCGGUUUACUGGUCGUGCUUUUGUACGUACUGGUAUUAUUGGUUUCUCCUUUCUGACGAAUCAUAAUGCCAUUAAUUUGGUGUUUUGGGGAAUCAGGACUGUUACUUUGAAAAAAUUAGAGUGUUUAAAGCAGGCUCACGCUUG